AUUGAACGCUGGCGGCAUGCCUUACACAUGCAAGUCGAACGGCAGCACGGGUGCCUGCACCUGGUGGCGAGUGGCGAACGGGUGAGUAAUACAUCGGAACAUGUCCUGUAGUGGGGGAUAGCCCGGCGAAAGCCGGAUUAAUACCGCAUACGAUCUACGGAUGAAAGCGGGGGACCUUCGGGCCUCGCGCUAUAGGGUUGGCCGAUAGCUGAUUAGCUAGUUGGUGGGGUAAAGGCCUACCAAGGCGACGAUCAGUAGCUGGUCUGAGAGGACGACCAGCCACACUGGGACUGAGACACGGCCCAGACUCCUACGGGGGGCAGCAGUGGGGAAUUUUGGACAAUGGGCGAAAGCCUGAUCCAGCAAUGCCGCGUGUGUGAAGAAGGCCUUCGGGUUGUAAAGCACUUUUGUCCGGAAAGAAAUCCUUGGCUCUAAUACAGUCGGGGGAUGACGGUACCGGAAGAAUAAGCACCGGCUAACUACGUG
rnacentral:rRNA from 1 species